AGCCCCACGUAAAAUUAGGCCCUUCCAAAACCCCUUUACCCACGGAACAACGGGGGAAACGAAAACCAAAGCUGCCGAGAAGACCCGGGACCAGGUGGAAAAAGAAAAAGAUUAUUGGAAGGAUGUUUUUUUUGCCUUUUAAAGGAAAAUUUGCCCUGUGCUGAUACACACCUGCCUUUGUGUAAGUGUUUUCCUCUGUUAAGGUGGAGAAUGUAACAGUGAGGGCUGUGGUGAGGAUUUCCUUGCUUUCUUACCAGUGUGGUUAAAAGUCUCCUCGAUUCAGUUUAGUUUCACUGUAAAGCUGAAGUUUGUUUACGUAUUGUUUUGAAUUUACACGGCAGACGACUACCGAAGGCUUGACUAAAACAGGCUGAGCCAACAAGAAUAAAUCCAUCUCUUCUGACGCUUGAUGACAUUAGUGAUGCUGACUUUAUUCAGGGAUCAUUUUGGUUGAGCCCAGGUAAACCAGAGCUAGCACUGGAUAGGAAAUACUGAGUGGGAGGGAGAAUUCAUCAUUGUUUAUGGACAAGAGCACUGAUGGAUGACCAGUCUUAUGGUGGCAUUUUUUAAAGUCAUAAUCUUUCACCAUCUUGCAGGACCUACCUGAAUAUUUUUAAAUAUGUGAACACUGCCGAGUAUUACUUUUUUAAUUAUCUUAACUGGUUUGCUCACUGUCUUGGUAAUGUCUCACAUAAAAGUUGACUUAUUUGAGUCUCAGUCUUGAGAGUCUUGAGACUUUAUUAUUCUCAUUCUUUGUUUGCGCUGGACUGCAGCUCUUAAUGAAAGAUGUUUAUCUUUGUGUGGCUUCAGAGACCGAUAAAUAUGGGCUUAAUGUGAAAUCGUGGACCUCUCUGUGGUUUAGUGAAUAUUUUUAUACUGUGAAAAUUGUCCGUCCGCUGCUGAAAGCUUUAGUGAGUGUAUCUGAGACUGUGAGUGAGAAAUGGAGAUACAAGUGGUCAUGUAUGUGUUGAACUCUAGUGGUGAACAGAGAAAGAUUAAUGGAGGGAGCUGAAAGAUUUGAGCAACCCAGAAUGUAAGAGGAUGGUUUCACAGUCAGAAAAAUGGUGAUAUAAUACGAGCAUGGUCGGCUAAAAUGAGCUGGAAUAAUGUGUACACACACAUUCACAUUGGCCUCCAAAAAACAUUAAACCACAUACUUUUCUAAAUAGAUGCGCUAGCCUGACAGACAGAAAAGAUAGAAUAGGGAAAAAAGGUAGAGGAUGAAUCCGAAACGUUACGGAUAAGAGUUGGCUGAUAGAUUCAGGUACACAUUUAUUUUUCCAUUUAAACUUAAUGGCUGUAUAGACUGGGGUGUAACUUAAAAAUGAAAGCUUAUAACAGUGCUCUGUCCUGCAAUCUGUCACACACACACACACACACACACACAAGGUUGAAAGGUUGUUUUUUGAGAGCAAGUGUUUUUUUUUAAAUGUAAUCUUCUUAACUGUAAUUGUACUUAAACUGCUACUGUACAUGCUCUUUGCUCAUGUUUGUUUGUGUUGUUGUUCAGAAAUAGAACUCAAACUUACCCAAAGAGGUGCAGACAAUUGAAAGGUGAAACUGUAGAAAAAUAAAUAUUCGCUAAUUAAGCUUUGCAAAAAUUCUUCUGACAUCAUUUUACGUUUAAGUAAAUGUUACAGGAAGUGUAUAUUGUAAA